UAUUUCUAAUAAAGUUGCUUAUUCCUUUAGGAUGAAAACCUAACGUGUCAUGGUACACCAUAGAAAC
rnacentral:tRNA from 1 species